AUUUGAAACAUGAUUGAAAAUAAAUAACUGCACACACGUAUUAGAUAUUUUUACCACUAACUUUAUUCCGCAUGCAACUUUCACGCAAUCCAGUUACGCUCUAAAAAAGCUCGAAAAUACUAACUGCAUAUACAUAGAAGUUUGACAAUAUAGUUAGUCGAUACAUCGUAUAUCGCUAACACGCUGAUAAAACAAGUUAUUAAUAUGACUAAUAGUACACUAUCGAGAGAAUAUUAUACCGAAUAUGAUGAGGACAAAUUCAGUUUUACUUUAUUCCCUAAAUUACAUAUGCGUCAUAUUAAGAACUAAAUUAACUGAAUUGAAAAAAGUCACAACAUAAAUAUUAUCAUAUAUAACGUACAUCCUCGUGGAUACUGAUCUAACUUAUUCGUGCCAACGAAAUUGAAUGGAGAAAGGAAGCUUAAUAAAGAAAUCGCUAUCCUUGUACAUGCAAAGCAGAAAAUAUUCUAGACAUGGAUAAAGAUACAUAUGUUUCUCUCUCUUUCUUGCAUCGCAACAUGAGAAUCAUAACGAAGAUAGAAAGUUUAACUACUUACAAUUCUACGACGAUACUUAUUAUACAUAAAAGGAAUACCAACACGAUCUCCAAAGAUAUUCAUAUGUAUUAUUGUUUCAUUUGAAGAACGGAAGAGAAUUAAAAUUAAUUAAGAAUUGAAAUUAAGAAGAAUAAUUAAAAAUAUUGAUGUUAAAGAGAGAAAAAACGAACAAUGUGACUCUAUUUACACAUUGUAUACUUAGAUAUUUAUCGGUGAUAUAUUUGUUUACAUAAUCAAAAACAUCAUUUUGAUACAAAUAUUAAGACUUUGAUAUGAAACAAUGAAAUAACAUACCGUACGAUGUAGCGCAUUAAAUUCGCUGUAUCUUCUCUCAAUAAAGUAUCGGGUACCACUUUCGGA